GGGCUGGGAUGGCCCUCUUGGUUGUGAUGGCUCUGAAACGCAGGAUGAUGUGGAUACACAGAAACACAGCGAUGCUGUCGUAGCAAUCCGAUACAUAGGUGGACAUGCUCUUCUGCAGGGGAAAGGAGGGAGGGAGAGAGAGCAAUGUAUGAGAAGUAUUAUCGUACCAGGAACAAGCUGAGAGUCUUUCCCAUGACGCUGUUGAAGAGGUCCAGCGCAGAGUUUCCAGCCACCAUGAAGAAGUCAGACAGGAAGAGGAACUCUCGACAGCCAUUGUCCAAGAGGGCGUAGUGCUGACUGCGGAACAGCGUCUCAUAGGGAUACUGAGAGAGGAGGAAGAAGGUUGUACAACACUGCCAGUGGCCUCACCCUGCAGUCCCCUCUCUGGGCAGUGUGGGGGAUAAGGAUGGGCCCCUCC